rnacentral:rRNA from 1 species
GGUGAACGCUGGCGGCGUGCUUGACACAUGCAAGUCGAACGGUAUGUGGCAACACAUAGAGUGGCGAACGGGUGAGUAACACGUGGGAACGUACCCUACGCAGGGGGAUAACUGACCGAAAGGACAGCUAAUACCGCAUAAGACCGAAAGGUGAAAGGUGCAACUGCACCGGCGAAGGAGCGGCCCGCGGACCAUCAGCUAGUUGGUGGGGUAAGAGCCUACCAAGGCAACGACGGAUAGCCGGCGUGAGAGCGUGGCCGGCCACAAGGACACUGAGAUACGGGUCCUACUCCUACGGGAGGCAGCAGUGCGGAAUUUUAGAUAAUGGAGGCAACUCUGAUCUAGCGACGCCGCGUGCAGGAAGAAGGUCUUCGGAUUGUAAACUGCUGUGGUAAGGGAAAAAUGCCAUGUAGAGUGGAAAGCUACAUGGAGGGAUGGUACUUUACUAGAAAGCCCCGGCUAACUACGUGCCAGCAGCCGCGGUAAUACGUAGGGGGCGAGCGUUACCCGGAAUCACUGGGCGUAAAGGGAGCGUAGGUGGCCUGACAUGUCAACUGUGAAAACCCGGAGCUCAACUCCGGACUUGCGGUUGAAACUGCCAGGCUUGAGGACGGUAGAGGAAGGCGGAACUGCCAGUGUAGGGGUAAAAUCCUUAGAUAUUGGCAGGAACGCCGGUGACGAAGGUGGUUUUCUGGGCCGGUUCUGACACUGAUGCUCGAAAGCCAGGGGAGCGAACG